UACGUAGGGUGCAAGCGUUAAUCGGAAUUACUGGGCGUAAAGCGUGCGCAGGCGGUUUUGUAAGACAGGUGUGAAAUCCCCGGGCUUAACCUGGGAACUGCAUUUGUGACUGCAAAGCUGGAGUGCGGCAGAGGGGGAUGGAAUUCCGCGUGUAGCAGUGAAAUGCGUAGAUAUGCGGAGGAACACCGAUGGCGAAGGCAGCCCCCUGGGCUAACACUGACGCUCAGGCACGAAAGCGUGGGGAGCAAACAGG
rnacentral:rRNA from 1 species